rnacentral:rRNA from 1 species
AUUGAACGCUGGCGGCAGGCCUAACACAUGCAAGUCGAACGAGUGGCGGACGGGUGAGUAAUGUCUGGGAAACUGCCCGCUGGAGGGGGAUAACUAAUGGAAACAGUAGCUAAUACCGCAUACCAUUGGAUGUGCCCAGAUGGGAUUAGCUAGUAGGUGGGGUGACGGCUGACCUAGGCGAACAUCCCUAGCUGGUCUGAGAGGAUGACCAGCCACACUGGAACUGAGACACGUUCCAGACUCCUACGGGAGGCAGCAGUGGGGAAUAUUGGACAAUGGGCGCAAGCCUGAUGCAGCCAUGCCGCUUGUAUGAAGAAGGCCUUCGGGUUGUAAAGUACUUUCAUCAAGGAGGCGGUACUCGCAGAAGAAGCACCGGCUAACUCCGUGCCAGCAGCCGCGGUAAUAC